rnacentral:lncRNA from 1 species
CGCAGCCCCAGAGACCGACCCCACUGAGCUGCCCUCCACAGUCCCAGAGCCCGGCUCCACCGAGCCGCCCCCCACGGCCCCAGAGCCUGGCCCCCCCAGUUUGGCCUCUCCCACCCCUGCUGAGCUGCCCAUUCCCCUGGAGUUGCCACUCAGUGCCCUGGAGUUGGCUGUGGUUAGCAGGAUGUGGCUGGCGAGGAAGCAGGCGUGGCAAAGUGCGCGGGCACCGCUGCAGAAUAUCCUGUGGGAGCUACAGAAGCUGGCAGGCCAGGCUGGAUUGCAGGAGCAGCUGGAGGAGGCGCUGUCCCAUCUGCUGCAGGAGAAUCAGGCCCUGCGGGCUGAGCUGGCACUGUGGCAAUCCCACACUCGAGAGGAAUGUACCACACCUGCCACUGGAGACAGACAACACCAGGGGACCUCAGCCACCCCCGCUCCAGUGCCCCUAGGGGAUAGAAGCCAGGGGGACCUUACUUAUGUUCUCCAGACUGCCUGGCUGGGGGUGCGGGAUGCCCAGACCCAGACAGAGGGGCCAGCACGGGGCAGGCGCCACAGGGAGCUUAUCUCGGCGGCCUUCGACCACACUCAGUAUGAGCCCUAUGGGCUGCCUGAGGUCGUCAUGAAAGGUUUUGCCGACAUCCCCUCCGGCCCCUCCUGCCCCUAUGUCCUUCGGAGGGGGCUCCUGGGCAGUACCCCCUUGGCCCAGCUGGCACCCAAAGCUGAGCCAGAGGAGGAUCCCGCUGAACCUGAUAUGGGCACCAGCAUCUGAGAGCAUCUACGCUGCUGGCCUGGAUGGCAGAAAUGUUCCCCCCCACCCCAGCUACAAAGAUCCCUGAUGUUGCCUGGAGCUCCCCAGCUGCUAUGUGGCACUUUAUGGCUGAGAAGGGGAGUCCUUCUCCCCUUCCCUCCACAGAUGGACAUGUGUAACCCUCUGGGAUUUAUUUUACAACCUGGCUUCCUCAAGGUGCUAAAAAUUGUGGGUGCUACAGCUUAGUGGGCUGACAGCUGCUCAAUGCCCCACUCCCUGCACACAAGGAAUGGGGGGGCUCAAUUAAUGGGGUUAAUUGGAAUCUCUGCCCCCCCCACAGACACACAGCUUGAAGGGAAUUAAACCCUCUAUUCAUGGCUCAGGGAAUCAAAGGGCGGGUUGUGUCCACCCACCCAAACUUUGGAGGAGCUGCUAUGUUGAGUCAUCCCCACCCCCCCGAGAGGGGCUCAGCAGAAUUUCCUCAAAGAGAGGGGGUGCAGCACAGGGAGUCUUUCCCCCCACACACCCGCCCCAGCUCUGGGGUUUAUAUGUAACUCUGUCUCCCCCAGCCCCAAUAAAGUUCCUUGCCUCAGCUUCA